UACGAGGGGAGCAAGCGUUGUUCGGAUUUACUGGGCGUAAAGGGCGCGUAGGCGGUCGUGACAAGUCACUUGUGAAAUCCCCGGGCUUAACUCGGAACGGUCAAGUGAUACUGUCGGACUAGAGUACAGAAGGGGCAACUGGAAUUCUCGGUGUAGCGGUGAAAUGCGUAGAUAUCGAGAGGAACACCUGCGGCGAAGGCGGGUUGCUGGGCUGAUACUGACGCUGAUGCACGAAAGCCAGGGGAGCGAACGGG
rnacentral:rRNA from 1 species